rnacentral:lncRNA from 1 species
UAAGCCACAUCCAAGUGUCUGGUAAGUGGUUUGCCUAUUUGGUUAAGUUGGUAAUGAUUGAGAUACUGCUUGGAUCUUUCUUAUGGGCCAUUGGUGAGAUCUUUAUAAGGAGCUACGUAUUGAGCUAAGUUUUCACUCUAAAACGAUCUGGUAACGGUCUGGUAGAUUUUCAAUUUCAAUUUCAAUUUCAAUUUCAAUUUCUAUAACAGUAAAUUUCAAUUUCUGUUAACGAUCUGGUAGAUUCUCUCUGCUUUGCCUCAUUUGUUUGGGCUUUUUUAAGUGAUGUUUUCUUGAUAGAAUAUUGAUCUAGACUUAAAAAAAGAUCAUUUUUGGCGGAUCUAGCCACAUAUUUUAGUGGGGGCAUACAAUUUUUAUAUAAAAAAAUAUGUAAUUAACAAAAGUUUUCUAUUUUUAAUUUAUUUUUAAAACAUAAAAAUAUAUCUUAUUCUUUUUGUUUUUCUAUAAUUAUUUAUAUUCAUUACUUU